AGAGGAGGGGACGCCUGUCCGACCUGCCAAAAUCAGGAACGCCCCCGCUCCUCCCGCCCGCCCAGCGGCCGCCUCAGCCCGAGGGGACGGCAGGGGGAGGCGUUACAAGUGCAGCCCCUCCCGGGCCGCCGCUGAGAUGGCAAAGAAAACAAUAUGAACCUACAAGAUACAAUCAGAAGGAAAAGGCCAGGUUAGAAGGAAAAAAGUACAGCUACAGAUGGAAGAAAAACUACUGAAGAUCUGCAGCAGGUAGAUGUGUUCAUGAGAAUUCACAAAUGUUUCUGAGGAGUACUUGGGAAAGAAGAAGGCCUAAACACAGAUCUCAGUGCACAGAUCCAGACACCAAAAAGCUACUCUCAGAGCAAGGAGGGCUUCUUCCAGCUCAGGAGGACCCUGUCUGGAAAUCAGUUUUUGGGCACACCAUGGGACAGACAACUUCCAUUGAAUGACUCACAAC